AUGGCGCUGCUGAGCCCGCGUGUUCCGCGGCUGCCCCUCGCCGCCCACUCCGCCGGCGCCGGCGCCGGAUCCCUCCGGUGCUGCGUCCGGGUUGCUGCCUCCGCUGCGCGAUGCCAAGUGACGGCGUCGGGAAGCGUGGCGGCGGGCUCCUCGUCGUCGUCGGAGCUGGAGGCCAUCCGGUGGGGCAGCGCCAAGCUGCAGGGAGCUCGCGAGGAGAUGGAGGACGAGGUCGUCCUCCGCCCUGACUCCCUCCUCCACGGCUUCUCCUUCGCCGCCGUCCUCGACGGCCACGCCGGUUUCUCCACCGUCCAGUUCCUGAGGGACGAGUUGUUCAAGGAAUGCGCAGCCGCGUUGGACGGGGGCGCGGUGCUUAACACCAAGAAUCUCGAGGCCAUCACGGACUCGAUCAGGCGUGCCUUUGCCACCAUGGACGCCAACCUCUCCACCUGGCUUCAGCAAAUGGAUAAGGAAGACGACUCUGGUGCCACGGCCACGGCCUUGUUUCUGAGGAACGAUGUCCUUGUUGUCUCGCACAUUGGCGACUCCUGCUUGCAGGUCAUAUCGCGUGGUGGAAGACCUCAGUCUCUGACAAAUUUUCAUCGACCAUACGGGAACAACAAAACAUCCCUUGAAGAGGUCAAGCGGAUUAGGGCAGCAGGUGGAUGGAUUCGUGAUGGACGCGUAUGUGGAGACAUUUCUGUAUCUCGUGCUUUUGGAGACAUAAGAUUUAAAACACGGAAGAAUGAGAUGCUAGUAAAAGGAGUUAAAGAAGGAAGAUGGACUGAAAAAUUCGUUUCACGAAUAAAUUUUAAAGGGGAUCUAAUAAUCUCUUCACCUGACGUAUCUCUGGUGGAGCUUGGACCGGAUGUGGAAUUUGUUUUGGUAGCAACCGAUGGUCUUUGGGAUUACAUUAAAAGCACUGAAGCUGUAGCUUUUGUCAGAGAUCAACUAUGUCAACAUGGAGAUGUCCAGCGGGCCUGUGAGGCGCUUGGGGAGAAAGCUCUGGAUCGGCGGUCACAAGACAAUAUUAGCAUAGUCAUAGCUGACUUGGGGAGGACAAACUGGCAGGAGUUGCCCGUUCCAAGGCCAAACGUGUUGUUGGAGCUAAGUCAAGCAGUUGCGACUGUAGGGGCUGUAUCAGUAGGAAUUUGGAUUUCAUCGCUUCUCACUUUGCAAUAG
rnacentral:rRNA from 1 species